UAUUCUUCCUUGGUAAAGUCACUUGACUGCUGACAGUCUGUUUCCUGGACUAUAAAAUGAAGAUGCUAUGAAUACUGCUGAAGUGACUAACUGAUGACGUAUCAAUGUCAAACAUAAGUAUCGGUGAAAGAACUAUUUUGAAAUAAACAUCCUGGUUAAUCACUAAGGUCUAAGGAGGAAAACUGAAGACGAAGUUCAACAGACCCGUCACUAGUGGAGCCUGGCUUUCUCCUUGGAGAAAGCAGUAACCAGACUCUACCUAUUACAAUGAGAAGCUGCACUCAGGAUAAUUAUGGCUCGGUAAACCAUCAGCAUUCAGCAGGCAGUAAUUGAAAUUUCAUAGGCUCAUUAGCAGGUGGGAGAGGUACUGUGGCUGAGAGCUGCCAGCUGAGUAGAUUGUACAGUAUUGCAAUUUGUCAUAAGGCACUGUACUGCUACUAUGUUAAAAGGAAAGCAGGAAAAUAAAAGGUACUUUUUCUUAUACAAAAUGAAA